rnacentral:rRNA from 1 species
UGGGGGAUAUUGCACAAUGGAGGAAACUCUGAUGCAGCGACGCCGCGUGAGGGAAGAAGGUCUUCGGAUCGUAAACCUCUGUCUUUGGGGACGAAGAAAGUGACGGUUCCCAAAGCGGAAGCCACGGCUAACUACGUACCAGCAGCCGCGGUAAUACGUAGGUGGCGAGGGUUUUCUGGAAUUACUGGGUGUAAAGGGUGCGUAGGCGGACUGGCAAGUUGGAUGUGAAAUCUCCGCGCUUAACGUGGAGGUUGCAUUCAAAACUGUUGGUCUAGAGUGAGGCAGAGGCAGGCGGAAUUCCAGGUGUAGCGGUGAAAUGCGUAGAUAUCGGGAGGAACACCAGUGGCGAAGGCGGCCUGCUGGACCUUAACUGACGCUGAGGCACGAAAGCAUGGGUAGCAAACA